rnacentral:rRNA from 1 species
GGUUGCGAUCAUACCAGCACUAAUGCACCGGAUCCCAUCAGAACUCCGCAGUUAAGCGUGCUUGGGCGAGAGUAAUACUAGGAUGGGUGACCCCCUGGGAAGUCCUCGUGUUGCAACCC